rnacentral:tRNA from 1 species
GUCCAGGGUAGCCUAGUGGACAUCGCAUCUGCCCGGUUAGCGGAACAUUGUGGGUUUCGAUUCCCAUCCCUUGACA